rnacentral:rRNA from 1 species
GACGAACGCUGGCGGCGUGCUUAACACAUGCAAGUCGAACGGAAAGGCCCUGCUCUUGUGGGGUGCUCGAGUGGCGAACGGGUGAGUAACACGUGAGUAACCUGCCCCUGACUUUGGGAUAACUUCAGGAAACUGGGGCUAAUACCGGAUAGGAGCUCCUGCUGCAUGGUGGGGGUUGGAAAGUUUCGGCGGUUGGGGAUGGACUCGCGGCUUAUCAGCUUGUUGGUGGGGUAGUGGCUUACCAAGGCUUUGACGGGUAGCCGGCCUGAGAGGGUGACCGGCCACAUUGGGACUGAGAUACGGCCCAGACUCCUACGGGAGGCAGCAGUGGGGAAUAUUGCACAAUGGGCGGAAGCCUGAUGCAGCAACGCCGCGUGCGGGAUGACGGCCUUCGGGUUGUAAACCGCUUUCGCCUGUGACGAAGCGUGAGUGACGGUAAUGUGUAAAGAAGCACCGGCUAACUACGUG